AUCUUAACAUUCUAGUAACUGUUUAUAAUAGUAAGGUUAAUACAGGCUGUCUUUAUCCUACCAUUCUAGCUACUGUUUAUAACAGUAAGGUUAAUACAGGCUGUCUUUAUCCUUCUAUUCUAGUAACUGUUUGAAGUUGUUUAAAUUAAUAAAGACUGUUUGUUUUUCCAAGAUUUUGAUUUUGUCCUGUCACAGGUGACCAUGGCUGACCGAGAGUCAGCUGAACGUGCUGUAAGAGAUGCCAACCCAAUCAUUGAUGGAAGGAAGGCCAAUGUGAAUCUCGCGUACCUAGGGGCCAAACCGCGAGGUAGCGCAACGAAUGACUUCUCUGUGCCCAUCAGGCCUAGUUACCCCACACUGCUCCAAGGUCAGCUUAGGU